rnacentral:rRNA from 1 species
UACGGGGGGGGUAAGCGUUGUUCGGAAUUACUGGGCGUAAAGGGCUCGUAGGCGGCCAACUAAGUCAUACGUGAAAUCCCUCAGCUUGACUGGGGAACUGCGUGUGAUACUGGAUGGCUUGGAUUUGGGAGAGGGAUGCGGAAUUCCAGGUGUAGCGGUGAAAUGCGUAGAUAUCGAGAGGAACACCUGCGGCGAAGGCGGGUUGCUGGGCUGACACUGACGCUGAUGCGCGAAAGCUAGGGGAGCGAACGGG